rnacentral:lncRNA from 1 species
UCAGUAUCUCUUUUGUCGUAUUAGUUAAUUAUCAAUCUGAUUAUUGAAUAUUGAUGACUUACAAGAAUUUCACUAUGUUAUAAUUGUCAGGGUGACUGGAAUGGUGCUGGUGCUCACACAAAUUACAGGUUUGUAAUUCUCCAAAUGCCAUUGCACAUCCUUAUUGAACUUCAGAGAGAAAUCUCUAAUGAUCUGAAUUGAAUGUGAUGUUCUGUAUGUAACAGCACCAAGUCAAUGAGAGAAGAUGGCGGAUAUGAGGUGAUAAAGAAAGCAAUUGAGAAAAUGGGUUUGCGACACAAGGAACACAUUGCUGCAUACGGAGAGGGUAAUGAAAGAAGACUCACCGGACGUCAUGAAACAGCAGACAUCAACACAUUCUCUUGGGUAAGUCUGAAUGAAUGAAUGAAUGAAUGAAUGAAUGAAUGAAUGAAUGACCAACUUUCUGCUAUUGUUGUUUCUAAACAAGCAUUAUUUUCAUUGCAGGGAGUUGCUAACCGUGGUGCUUCAAUCCGUGUUGGUCGUGAUACUGAAAAGGACAGAAAAGGUAACAAACGGCCCCUCUCCUAAACAUAGGCAGGCAGAUGUAUCGAAUUAACAUGUAAUCAAUCAUUGUGUUUUGUUCUGCAGGAUACUUUGAGGACAGGAGGCCAUCGUCCAACAUGGACCCUUACGUAGUCACAUCCAUGGUCGCAGAGACCACUCUUCUCUUGCCUUGAAAGAAACCUUGCAACAGUGGAGCAAUCUUCACUCUACUCCACUUUAAUAAAUGUGAUGUAUUCAGAAUUUCAGACUGCUACUCUAUUUGCGAAUAUUGCAAUCAUACUCACUGAUUUAUUGCUUGCUAUUGCUAUCAUUGUCUCCAUGUUCAACUUUCUUAGAUCGUAUAUAUUGCAUAUGCAAUUUCUUGUACAUGCUUCCAAAAAAACCUGUAUCGGCUAUAUAUAGCAAUACUUUGAUACAAGUUUUUUAUGUAAUAAAUUAUCAUUGUUUAAUGAAUAAUAUUAUAAAUCUCUCUCCUUGUCUCUUUGGCUCUUUCUAUCGAAUUCUCGAUUAAAGCAAAGUUAAAAUCUCUUCCCAAGAGUCCAAGUUCAUUAAGAUGCCGUGCCAAAGAGAAGUGGAAUUCCAAGAUUUCCAUAAGAAUAUGAUAAUAAUUAACUAAAUUAAGAUCGUAAUUUAUAAGAUUAUUCAAUCAAUCAGUAUUACGCAAUGAUAUAUAUUGAAUAAUUAAAAUUUAAAAUAAACCUCAUAUAACCAUAAGUACCUUUCUCAUCAGUUUAUAUUUCAUGGUAAAGAUGAAUACAAGGCGGAAGGUAGGACUAUCCCUCAUUUUAUGGCUAAGAAGGUGAAAAUGUUAUAAAUUUAUAUGAAAUGGAAAAAAAGGGAUCUCAUGGACCCAAAUGGUCCUUUCCAAAACGGAAGGGGAUUUAGAGGUUAAAGACUACUUAUUACAAAAGAGUUUCAAAAUAUUGGGAUAAAAGUGAUUUUAUUUUGUUAAAAUAGAUCUAAAAUAGGUAUAUUAAAGAAAAAAACACUUAAUGAUAUAUAAAAUAAACCUAAUGUGGAUUCGUAUUUCUGAAAAACUUUUAUCUCGAAAAGAAUCUAGUGGAUAAAUGUUUAGAUUGUAGAGCCAAUAGUACGAUUGUGUGGAGAUCUGAUACUCCGAUAAACAAGUUAGGGGGAAUGGUGGAAAAUAUUAGAGAUAGAAAACAUAAAAACAUGUUAACUGAGGAAAUUUGGUCAGAGAUGCCGACAAAAUUCUUUAUUUUCUUGUGGAGGGGUAAAAUAAGAUCACCUAAACACGUUUAGAAAGUUAAAAAAUUGGAAAGUAUAAGUACCUUAUGCUUGCUUGUUAUGUAAUCUGGAAGAUGAAAUUAGAAGUUAUCUUUUUUUCAACUGUUUUUAUUUCAGAUAUCUCUUAAUUCCGUUGGCUGAGCAACUGGAUCUCGUCUUAUGAAAAAUAAUGAAUAUUUCAUUUCUCACAUAAUCUAAUCCAGAUAUUAGAUUGGAAAAUCUAACGGAGGCUGUGCAAAAAUUACGCACCACUCUUCCUCUU